GGAAGGAUCAUUAACAAAUACCCUUAUUUAAACCAAACGUUGAACUGUUUUCUUCCACUGACUUGAGGGAGCAUAACAUUAUAUGACUAUGGCAGUGAGGCUCGCAAGGGCUCGUCUUUAAUGUUUCUCUGCUUUAAAACGUAGAGGUAGCUCUCAAGACAUGUGUAGCACUGUUGGGCUUUCAUUCGCAAGAGUGAAGGUCUGUUUUUUAUUAUUUUACCCUUUUGUAACAAUUGUACUAAUCCCACUAUUGUGGUAACUUAUGAAAGUAAGAAACCCUACAAUACAACUUUUUUCAACGGAUAUCUUGGCUCUUGUAUCGAUGAAGAACGCAGCGAACUGCGAUACGUAAUGCGAAUUGCAGAAUUCAGUGAAUCAUCAAAUCUUUGAACGCAUCUUGCGCUUAGUGGUAUGCCGCUAAGCAUGCCUCUUUGAGUGUCGUUUCAACACAAACUCAACCUUUGGUUGGAUAAUGCGAGUCUAACUGUGAUAAGUUAGUCUUGUUAAGUAUAGAGAACUCACUGAUCUUCAGUUAAAGCAUGAGACUUUCUGCUCAUCUAGUACUGAUGUAUGAUACUUGACCUUUAUUGGUCAUCCUUUAUACAUCUUGGUGCUAGGAGUGUUUGACUUGUGUGAAGGUCAUGUGAGCGUACCUUUCAAAUAGUGUAACAGCUCUUUGAAAAAUCUUUUUGAAUUUGACCUCAAAUGAAGCAGGAUUACCCGCCGAAUUUAAGCAUAUUAUUAAGCGGAGGAAAAGAAACUAACAAGGAUUCCCCUAGUAACGGCGAGUGAAGCGGGAAUAGCUCAACCUGAAAAUCGGUGUGCUCUGUACAUCGAAUUGUGGGCUUGAGACUGCACGUCAGCGAGCGACCCGUGUAUAAAUCCCUUGGAAUGGGGUAUCAUAGAGGGUGAGAAUCCCGUCUUUGACAUGGAGUUCGCCGCGUACGACUGUAGCUCUGAGAGUCGAAUAGCUUGGGAAUGCUGUUCUAAGUAGGUGGUAAAUUUCAUCUAAAGCUAAAUAUCGACAAGAGACCGAUAGCGAACAAGUACCACGAGGGAAAGAUGAAAAGAACUUUGAAAAGAGAGUUAAAAAGUACUUGAAAUUGAAAAAAGGGAAGCACUGGAAACCAGUAAUGCCUAGGUGUAUAUUUCCCGUUUGCCUAUGUAAGGUGGCUGAUCGAGAUCGUAAGACUUGAUUGGUUAUCUGAAGUGGGUAGGCGGUGUCUGUGCGCUUAAGUGAGUCAUAGUCAGUUAAAAUCGUGGGAGAAGAUCGGCGGGAAGGUAACUAAAUAGUAUCUUCGGGUAUUAUUUAGGACUUAUAGCCUACUGGUUCUACCAUGGAAUUGACUGAGGAAUUCAACCUGCGCCUUUGGCAACUUUUACUCGGCCCUGCUGCUCGGCUCGCUUGGGAGAACAAAGUUCUGUCGGUGAGUUCGGGUGGUACUGACUGGGAUAGAAGAUCUGCAGGUUCGAGAUUAUGACGAAAUGGUUUUCAUUGACCCGUCUUGAAACACGGACCAAGGAGUCUAACAUAUAUGCGAGUAUUUGGGUGUGAAAACCCUGAUGCGUAAUGAAAGUGAAGGUCAACAUUGGUUGACUGAGGGAGGAAUCGUGGCCACAAGCCGCGAGGCACUCUCGACCGAUCUAUGGUUUACCAAAGAUUUGAGUAAGAGCAUAUCUGUUGGGACCCGAAAGAUGGUGAACUAUGCCUGUGCAGGGUGAAGCCAGGGGAAACUCUGGUGGAGGCUCGUAGCGAUACUGACGUGCAAAUCGUUCGUCUGAAAUGGGUAUAGGGGCGAAAGACUAAUCGAACCAUUUAGUAGCUGGUUCCCUC
rnacentral:misc_RNA from 1 species